UGGGGAAUUUUGGACAAUGGGCGAAAGCCUGAUCCAGCAAUGCCGCGUGUGUGAAGAAGGCCUUCGGGUUGUAAAGCACUUUUGUCCGGAAAGAAAUCCUUGGCUCUAAUACAGUCGGGGGAUGACGGUACCGGAAGAAUAAGCACCGGCUAACUACGUGCCAGCAGCCGCGGUAAUACGUAGGGUGCAAGCGUUAAUCGGAAUUACUGGGCGUAAAGCGUGCGCAGGCGGUCUGCUAAGACCGAUGUGAAAUCCCCGGGCUCAGCCUGGGAACUGCAUUGGUGACUGGCAGGCUAGAGUACGGCAGAGGGGGGUAGAAUUCCACGUGUAGCAGUGAAAUGCGUAGAGAUGUGGAGGAAUACCGAUGGCGAAGGCAGCCCCCUGGGCCAAUACUGACGCUCAUGCACGAAAGCGUGGGGAGCAAACAGGAUUAGAUACCCUGGUAGUCCACGCCCUAAACGAUGUCAACUAGUUGUUGGGGAUUCAUUUCCUUAGUAACGUAGCUAACGCGUGAAGUUGACCGCCUGGGGAGUACGGUCGCAAGAUUAAAACUCAAAGGAAUUGACGGGGUCAUAGCUGUUUCCU
rnacentral:rRNA from 1 species